AGUGCAAUUGCUGGGUCAUAUGGUUAAGCUCAUGUUUAGUUUUGAGAAACUGCCAUACUCUUUUCCAAACUAGCUAUACCAUUUUACAUUUUCACCAGCAAU
rnacentral:pre_miRNA from 1 species